rnacentral:rRNA from 1 species
ACACAUGCAGUCGACGAACCUUCGGGUUAGUGGCGGACGGGUGAGUAACGCGUGAGAAUCUGCCCUCAGGAGGGGGAUAACAGUUGGAAACGACUGCUAAUACCCCAUAUGCCGAGAGGUGAAACGAAUUUUGCCUGGGGAUGAGCUCGCGUCUGAUUAGCUUGUUGGUGGGGUAAAAGCCUACCAAGGCUUCGAUCAGUAGCUGGUCUGAGAGGACGAUCAGCCACACUGGGACUGAGAUACGGCCCAGACUCCUACGGGAGGCAGCAGUGGGGAAUUUUCCGCAAUGGGCGCAAGCCUGACGGAGCAACGCCGCGUGAGGGAUGAAGGCCUUUGGGCUGUAAACCUCUUUUCUCAAGGAAGAAGAUCUGACGGUACUUGAGGAAUAAGCCACGGCUAAUUCCGUGCCAGCAGCCGCGGUAAUACGGGAGUGGCAAGCGUUAUCCGGAAUUAUUGGGCGUAAAGCGUCCGCAGGCGGCCGUUUAAGUCUGUUGUUAAAUCGUGGAGCUCAACUCCAUCACGGCAAUGGAAACUGUUCGGCUUGAGUAUGGUAGGGGCAGAGGGAAUUUCCGGUGUAGCGGUGAAAUGCGUAGAUAUCGGGAAGAACACCAGUGGCAAAAGCGCUCUGCUGGGCCAUUACUGACGCUCAUGGACGAAAGCCAGGGGAGCGAAAGGGAUUAGAUACCCCUGUAGUCCUGGCCGUAAACGAUGAACACUAG